UAAAUAUGUAUUUCCCUUUUCGAUCCAACACCAGAUGCAUUCAGUUUUCAAUAACUACAUGUAUGAGUGCAGGGGACAAUACAAGAGUUUGAAGAAUGCAACAUGGAUCACUAUUCGAUAGGAAAAGACGAUACCGACACUUACUCAUAUAAUAUUGCAAGUUCAAUCGCUUAUCACAGAAACAUGACCAAUAAAAGUUGUCGCGCUCUUAUAUUCAGUGGUGAUCAUGACUUGGUUGUUCCGCAUCUUGGCACGGAAAGAUGGGUGCAUUCUCUCAAUUUAACGCUUGAAAGAAGCAGGUGGGCGCCAUGGUUUGUUCAUCAGGAAGUAGCAGGAUAUGGGAUAAAAUUUUCGCAUGAAAAUUAUUCAUUGACAUUUGCUACCGUCAAGGCAAGAACUAAAUACAUGUAUCUACCAUGAAUCUUUAAGUCUUUAUGCAAAAUCAUAAAAUUAUUUUAUCCGCUCUCAUGAAUGCAGGGUGCAGGCCAUGCAGCUCCAGAGUAUAAGCCUGAAGAAUGUCUAGCCAUGGUGGAGAGAUGGCUUGCCCAUACUCCUCUUUAAUGGCAUAAAUAUUUUGUUACCACACUCUUAUACAUAUAAAUUUGUUAUAUAUAGUGGUUGGGAAAUUAGCAGAAUGAUACCGGGUCUUUGGAGAUGUGUAUAAAAGCAAUAAUUUAAUUGAAUAAAAUGAUUUACUUGG